UUUCUAUGUCAGUAUGUAAUAAAUGUAAUAAUGACACUUUCUAGGAUUACACAAGAAAUUUAUGAUGCUCCUUACUGUGACAAGUGGCAAGUUAAUACUAUGGAUACAGUUAUUGCCGGGCAUAGUCAUGCAAAGCUCCAGACUGAUUGGCACUACCAGGGUAUGGAAAAAAAGAGGUCCUCAACCUCUUUAAUGCCAAAACACUAACACAGGUGGUUGUAACCAGCUGUGCCAAACCUGUCCCCUUGGCCAAAAUGAUCCCGAGCUGGUUUGGUUGUUGGCUCCUUGUAACCGAGGGGAAAAAAACAGUUUGAAAAUCUAAUUGUUCAGGACAAAGGAUGUGAGCCAGUUAGCCAGGAGCAGUCUACAAAGUCACAAAUGCAGAAAGUGCUGUGUUCUUCGAGAAACAAAAGCUUUCAUACAGACAAUAACAGGCCUACAAGACUAUCUGUGGAGGCAACACUACCUCAUCAAAUGUUCUUUUUAAAAAAACAAAAUACCUCAUAGACAUAAAAAUGCAGUUGAAGGGAUUGUACACCAGAUUGGCAUCAAAAAAAGUUUUUUCUGUAACAAAUCUGAGGAUUGUCUGUAUAAUGGAAUGUGUUAAGCUGUGAUAUCAUAAUUGUAAAAAAGGUACAAAAAUGUAAAAAAAAAAAUUGUGUCAAAGACCGGAUUCAAUCCUGUGUCGCCUAAAUUGCAGUCCACUGUGCUACGAAUGC